rnacentral:rRNA from 1 species
AACGAACGCUGGCGGCAUGCCUAACACAUGCAAGCCGAACGAGAUCCUUCGGGGUCUAGUGGCGGACGGGUGAGUAACGCGUGGGGACCUGCCCAGGGGUACGGAAUAACUACGGGAAACUGUAGCUAAUACCGUAUGAUGCCGAAAGGCCAAAGAUUUAUCGCCCUUGGAUGGACCCGCGUUGGAUUAGCUAGUUGGUGAGGUAAUGGCUCACCAAGGCGACGAUCCAUAGCUGGUUUGAGAAGAUGAUCAGCCACACUGGGACUGAGACACGGCCCAGACUCCUACGGGAGGCAGCAGUGGGGAAUAUUGGACAAUGGGGGGCAACCCUGAUCCAGCAAUGCCGCGUGAGUGAAGAAGGCCUUAGGGUUGUAAAGCUCUUUCAGAUGGGAAGAUAAUGACGGUACCAUCAGAAGAAGCCCCGGCUAACUCCGUGCCAGCAGCCGCGUAAU